AGUGAACGCUGGCGGUAGGCCUAACACAUGCAAGUCGAACGGCAGCACAGUAAGAGCUUGCUCUUACGGGUGGCGAGUGGCGGACGGGUGAGGAAUACAUCGGAAUCUACUUUUUCGUGGGGGAUAAUGUAGGGAAACUUACGCUAAUACCGCAUACGACCUACGGGUGAAAGCAGGGGAUCUUCGGACCUUGCGCGAUUGAAUGAGCCGAUGUCGGAUUAGCUAGUUGGCGGGGUAAAGGCCCACCAAGGCGACGAUCCGUAGCUGGUCUGAGAGGAUGAUCAGCCACACUGGAACUGAGACACGGUCCAGACUCCUACGGGAGGCGGCAGUGGGGAAUAUUGGACAGUGGGCGCAAGCCUGAUCCAGCCAUACCGCGUGGGUGAAGAAGGCCUUCGGGUUGUAAAGCCCUUUUGUUGGGAAAGAAAAGCAGCAGGUUAAUACCCCGCUGUUCUGACGGUACCCAAAGAAUAAGCACCGGCUAACUUCGU
rnacentral:rRNA from 1 species